rnacentral:rRNA from 1 species
CAAUAGCGUAUAUUAAAGUUGUUGCAGUUAAAAAGCUCGUAGUUGGAUUUCUGGUGGGAGCGAUCGGUCUGGCGCUUAGCGCGAGUACUUGCAUCGUCUCCGGCCAUCCUUGGGGAGAGUCUGUCUGGCAUUAGGUUGUCGGGCAGAGGAUCCUCAUCGUUUACUGUGAAAAAAUUAGAGUGUUCAAAGCAGGCUUAUGCCGUUGAAUAUAUCAGCAUGGAAUAAUAAGAUAGGACUUUGGUACUAUUUUGUUGGUUUGCGCACCAAAGUAAUGAUUAAUAGGGACAGUUGGGGGUAUUCGUAUCCCGUUGUCAGAGGUGAAAUUCUUGGAUUUACGGAAGACGAACUACUGCGAAAGCAUUUACCAAGGAUGUUUUCAUUA